rnacentral:lncRNA from 1 species
GCCAAUGAGCAUGAUGGCGUUCUCCCGGAGAGUGAGCAAGAUGCAAGACUGACUAGGGCUGCCAUCACAGACAUGUUCAACCUUGCAGCCAAUGCCAUGCAUUCAAAUGUCCCAGGUAGGACAUUACUCACUCAUGGUCACACCCAUUGCCUUACAAUCACGGCCUGUCUUCAGAGUUGUACUGUCUGAUUGUGAAGCUUCCAAGCCAGUCUUCAAUUCACACAGCUCAUGCAUUAUGUGGCUGGCUGCAGAGGUGGUCAUGAGCGCUGCUACCGUUGUUGCUAGUAUGGUGGAGCAUGCACCUGAGGACAUGCUAAACUCCUUUGUAGAGCCCAUUCUCGCACUGCCAACAGCCGCCCAGAAGGUAUCUCUUCAGUGCAGUGUAAGCACAGAUGGAUUCAUGUUAUCUGAGGUCGGUGCUUUCAUGCUUCAUUGUAGAUAAUGUUUGCAGCAGCUGCUGUGAUGUGGCAUGCGUGAGCAGGCCCUAGCUAUGUCAGAUGUGGACCGCGCCGCAAUGAUGUGCCUCACAUUUGCUGCAUACUGCAGCUCCAACCUAGCUGGCUUUUACUCCAGGGCAGAACAGGUGGGGCUGCUGCUCUUCAUGCUCAUACUCUCAUCGCAAGCACAACAUUGCCUGACUACCUCUUGCACUUAAUUUACAAGCAUAAGUUCAACAGUUCUGUUGUACAGGGCAAGCAACUGCGGCGUGGCCUUUUGGACUGCACACUCUUGGAAUCAGAUGA